CCCUCACUCGGUCCCCGCGGUGUCUCUGGGAUCCGCAAGUGCGGGAGACUGGAUCCCGUCGUGACAAGGUGUUAACGAAGCAAAGCAGGAUAGCUCUCUGGCUCUUUACGAAUCCGAGGAACCAGGAGGGAGGGGCGAGCGAGCCAGGCCCAGGGUCCCCUCCUGCUCAGGGUUCCCGCCCUAGCUGUCCUGGCCCUUCCGUGACAAGGCCCUGGUGGCCCAGACCGGGCAAGCUGGCCCUUGGCCAGACCAAGAACUCCUGCAGACUCAGAAGUGGGUCCUGGAGGACUGAAAUGUGGGUACAGAUGUGUCAGUCGGGGACCCCCAGUUAUACCUGCCACGCGGUGUGAAAGGUGUGAGUGUUGGCCUUGUGUCCAUGGAGGGGUGCUGACUGCUGCACGGACAGCCAGGAAAGGACCACGCCCUGCCCCUCAAGGUCUUCAUCCUGAGGAGCGGUAUUGGGGUCUGUUGGCAGUCACCUGCUUGUCCCCACAUCUCUGUGGUAACUCCUCAGAGUCCUGUGAGUCUGCACACAUCCUGGGUGGUUCCUGAGCAGGACCCGUGUUUGCAGAACAUCGGAACAACAUGCACAGCACAGUGUGCAGCGUGAGAACUGGAGGAUAAUUGAGGCCUUCUCCACCUGA